AGACGGAGGGGGCUAGCGUUGUUCGGAACUACUGGGCGUAAAGCGCGCGUAGGCGGACCAUCAAGUUGGGCGUGAAAGCCCUGGGCUCAACCCAGGAAUUGCGCUCGAAACUGGUGGACUAGAGUCCGGGAGAGGAUAGUGGAAUUCCCAGUGUAGAGGUGAAAUUCGUAGAUAUUGGGAAGAACACCAGUGGCGAAGGCGGCUAUCUGGACCGGUACUGACGCUGAGGUGCGAAAGCGUGGGGAGCAAACAGGAUUAGAAACCCCAGUAGUCC
rnacentral:rRNA from 1 species